CCCCAAGGUGUAAACCCUAAUUCUAAUAUGAGAAUACGUAAAAUAAUGUCAAGUACCCUCUCUGACACACGUCAGAAUUGUUUAAUACCCAUUACACAUCAUCAAUUUGCUUAAUUAAAAAUAAAACAAAUUACAGCAUCAGCAUCGCGCGCGGCCGCGCGCGGCUCUAGUAUAUCUGUCUCGCGGCCGCGAGACUUACAGUAUGCUCAGUGCCUCCAGACGUCUUAACGCGCGGUCGCGCGCUCCUGCCUCGUGGGCGCGCGUUGGGUCUCUCGCGGGCGCGCGAUCCUUGCCUCGCGGGCGCGUGACUUGCAAAAUGCUCCUUAUGUCCAGCCCUGCACUCGCGCGGGCGCGCGAGCCUGCCUUUGUAUUGCCGCGCGGCCUGUAUCCUACAAAUCCUGAAUCUAGUUUAUGCUUUGCUGUUGCUGCUACUUGUUUGCUCAUGCCUUAACCUCUUACUUGAUUGAUUUCUACGCCUCAUUAUGCUCCCAUGUCGUGCACAUCCUCGCCUUUCCACUAGUAUUCGCACAUACGCUCACCGAUGCCUCAAAUUCCACCAAAAUAACGCUGAUUCCUGCACUUAUUCACUAAAAGGAGUUUCAAGUAUAUGCAAUGCAAAAUAACAUGAAAUGCAACUAAAACACAAUGAAAUGUACUCGAGGUGGGCACAAUUCGCAUGGAUUAAUAUACAAUAAGUGAAUAAAAAUAUCACUUAUCAAAUACCCCCAAACUUGAACUGUUGCUUGCCCUCAAGCAAUGCAUAUGCAUGAACACUGAAAAUGUAACUGCAAAACUAUUCAACUAUUUUAUAAUGCAAACUAGUCUCACAACAUCUUGACCAAAACAGAAUUUCAGCCCAAAUUACCUCAGUGAACUAUCCAGAUUCCAGAACAUAGUUUCAAACCAACCAUAGAUAUAACAUCAUACACGCAGAUAAUUCAUGAGUGCUAUAGAGAUACUGUGUGUGUGUGUGUUGUUCACAAAAACUUGAUCUAAGCAAAGAUUAUAUAUCAUACACUGCUCCAAACAGAAAAUUAUAGUUUAAAGCAAGAUUCAUGUAUACUCAUGCACACAGACCGUUUAGACAUAUCACCGCAAACUAGGUUCAACAAUGGGUUUAUUGCUUUAUUGCUACUCACGAGGGCGAUUUCGCACUUUCCCGUGGUGUUUAUUGCUAUUGUUUCUUUUCUCUUGCUCUUUUUUUUUUUCACAUGACCGUGCAAUGUCUCAAUCCAUUAGGCACACUGCUACCCUUUAGCGAGCUUUCAACCAACGACUCCCAGACCAUGAAAGACCUUAGGGCACUAGGUGUAGAGACAAUCCUCUCGGGCGUACUUACUCAAGUAGCCAGGGCCCCGAAUUAAGACUAGUCACGUUAUUGCAUAUAUAUAUAUCUUUUCUUCUUUUUUUUAUUUUUUAUACACAGCAUACCCAUGUUUCCCCAAAAUUUGCACCUAAAUGACUCAUACAAUCUACCUCAUUUUCCUCAUGCUUCUCUUUUUAACUCUACAUUUCCUAUUGAGCAAUGCAAAACACACAUCUUAGACUUACAAGCGCAUGUGAACACAGUUGUGCAACCGAAAGCAUCUAAACAGCAACAUGAACCGCAUUGUGUAAAACAUUAUACCCAAGUUGUGUUAUGCAACAAAUUCUGAAAUCCUUCACAAUUCACUCUCAUCAUUGGGUUAGACAAAAAUUUCUAUUUAUAAUCAAGAAUUAAUGUGAGAUGCUAAACUAGAACAUGCUAAAUCAAUGAAUAAAAAUUUUAAA
rnacentral:lncRNA from 1 species